rnacentral:rRNA from 1 species
ACGUAGGGGGCGAGCGUUGUCCGAAGUUACUGGGCGUAAAGCGCGCGUAGGCGGUCUAUUAAGUCUGAGGUGAAAGGUUCAACGCUCAACGUGAACAGUGCCUUGGAUACUGGUAGACUUGAGUGUGGCAGAGGAGUAUGGAAUUCCUGGUGUAGCGGUGAAAUGCGUAGAUAUCAGGAGGAAUACCGAUGGCGAAGGCAGUACUCUGGGCUAACACUGACGCUGAGGUGCGAAAGCGUGGGGAGCAAACGGGAUUAGAUACCCCGGUAGUCCACGCCGUAAACGAUGAGUGCUAGGUGUAGGAGGUAUCGACCCCUCCUGUGCCGUCGCUAACGCAUUAAGCACUCCGCCUGGGGAGUACGGCCGCAAGGUUG